rnacentral:rRNA from 1 species
UACGUAGGGUGCAAGCGUUGUCCGGAAUUAUUGGGCGUAAAGAGCUCGUAGGCGGUCUGUCGCGUCGGCUGUGAAAACCCGGGGCUCAACCCCGGGCCUGCAGUCGAUACGGGCAGACUAGAGUGCGGUAGGGGAGACUGGAAUUCCUGGUGUAGCGGUGAAAUGCGCAGAUAUCAGGAGGAACACCGGUGGCGAAGGCGGGUCUCUGGGCAGUAACUGACGCUGAGGAGCGAAAGCGUGGGGAGCGAACAGG